GACGAACGCUGGCGGCGUGCUUAACACAUGCAAGUCGAACGAUGAACCGAGAGCUUGCUCUUGGGGAUUAGUGGCGAACGGGUGAGUAACACGUGAGUAACCUGCCCUGGACUCUGGGAUAACCCCGAGAAAUCGGAGCUAAUACCGGAUAGGACCCUGUACCGCAUGGUGUGGGGUGGAAAGUUUUUUCGGUUUGGGAUGGACUCGCGGCCUAUCAGCUUGUUGGUGAGGUAAUGGCUCACCAAGGCGUCGACGGGUAGCCGGCCUGAGAGGGUGACCGGCCACACUGGGACUGAGACACGGCCCAGACUCCUACGGGAGGCAGCAGUGGGGAAUAUUGCACAAUGGGCGCAAGCCUGAUGCAGCAACGCCGCGUGCGGGAUGACGGCCUUCGGGUUGUAAACCGCUUUUAGUAAGGAAGAAGGGGAGCUUGCUCCUUGACGGUACUUGCAGAAAAAGGACCGGCUAACUACGUGCCAGCAGCCGCCGUAACAC
rnacentral:rRNA from 1 species